CCGGCGAUGGUGUAGUUGGUAAGCACGUUGUCACGUUAAGGCAAAGAGCGGACGUUCGAAUCGUCCUCGCCGGG